AGAACGAACGCUGGCGGCAUGCCUAACACAUGCAAGUCGAACGCUUUUGGGGCUUCGGUCCCAAAGGAGUGGCGCACGGGUGAGUAGCGCGUGGGAACCUGCCCUGGAGUGGGGGAUAACCGAGGGAAACUUCGGCUAAUACCGCAUACGCCGGGAAACCGGGAAAGAUUUAUCGCUCUAGGAGGGGCCCGCGUCGGAUUAGGUAGUUGGUGGGGUAACGGCCUACCAAGCCUGUGAUCCGUAGCUGGUCUGAGAGGAUGAUCAGCCACACUGGGACUGAGACACGGCCCAGACUCCUACGGGAGGCAGCAGUGGGAAUAUUGGACAAUGGGCGCAAGCCUGAUCCAGCAAUGCCGCGUGAGUGAUGAAGGCCUUCGGGUUGUAAAGCUCUUUCGCACGCGAGGAUGAUGACGCUAGCGUGAGAAGAAGCCCGGCUAACUCGUGCCAGCAGCCGC
rnacentral:rRNA from 1 species